rnacentral:rRNA from 1 species
AUUCCAGCUCCAAGAGCGUAUAUUAAAGUUGUUGCAGUUAAAAAGCUCGUAGUUGGAUUUCUGGUCUAAUGCGCCUGGCCCGCUGCCGUUAGGUAUGUGAGUGCCGGUGCGCGUUUACCAUCCUUCCAGAGAACACUUCUACCAUUUAUUUGGACGGAUGUUGUCUUCUGGAUCUUUUACUUUGAAAAAAUUAGAGUGUUUAAAGCAGGCCUUUGCUGUGUAUACAUUAGCAUGGAAUAAUAAUCUAGGACUUCGGUUCUAUUUUGUUGGUUUCUAGUACUGAAGUAGUGAUUGAUAGGGAUGGUUGGGGGUGCUAGUAUUGGCCGGCCAGAGGUGAAAUUCUUGGAUUCGGUCAAGACUAACUUAUGCGAAAGCAUUCACCAAGGAUGUCUUCAUUA